AGCAGCCGCGGUAAUUCCAGCUCCAAUAGCGUAUAUUAAAGUUGUUGCAGUUAAAAGCUCGUAGUUGAAUUUCGGGAUCAGUUGAUCGGUCGUGCCUCGGUACGUACUGGUCAAAUUGAUUCCUACCUUCUGACGAACCACGAUGUCAUUAAUUUGGUGUCGUGGGAAAUCAGGACUGUUACUUUGAAAAAAUUAGAGUGUUUAAAGCAGGCUCGCGCUUGAAUACAUUAGCAUGGAAUAAUGAAAUAGGACGUUUGAUUCUAUUUUGUUGGUUUCUAGGAUCGACGUAAUGAUUAAUAGGGAUAGUUGGGGGCAUUAGUAUUCAAUUGUCAGAGGUGAAAUUCUUGGAUUUAUUGAAGACUAACUACUGCGAAAGCAUUUGCCAAGGAUGUUUUCAUUAAUCAAGAACGAAAGUUAGGGGAUCGAAGACGAUCAGAUACCGUCGUAGUCUUAACCAUAAACUAUGCCGACUAGGGAUCGGAUGAUGUUAAUUUUUUAAUGACUCAUUCGGCGCCUUACG
rnacentral:rRNA from 1 species